CGUGCCUAAUACAUGCAAGUCGAACGCACUCUCGUUUAGAUUGAAGGAGCUUGCUCCUGAUUGAUAACAUUUGAGUGAGUGGCGGACGGGUGAGUAACACGUGGGUAACCUGCCCUAAAGCGGGGGAUAACAUUUGGAAACAGAUGCUAAUACCGCAUAAAACCUAACACCGCAUGGUGUAGGGUUGAAAGAUGGUUUCGGCUAUCACUUUAGGAUGGACCCGCGGUGCAUUAGUUAGUUGGUGAGGUAAAGGCUCACCAAGACCGUGAUGCAUAGCCGACCUGAGAGGGUAAUCGGGCCACACUGGGACUGAGACACGGCCCAGACUCCUACGGGAGGCAGCAGUAGGGAAUCUUCCACAAUGGACGAAAGUCUGAUGGAGCAACGCCGCGUGAGUGAAGAAGGUUUCGGAUCGUAAACUCUGUUGUUGGAGAAGAAUGUAUCUGAUAGUAACUGAUCAGGUAGUGACGGUAUCCAACCAGAAAGCCACGGCUAACUACGUG
rnacentral:rRNA from 1 species